GUAGUGUAUAAAUAUGCUACACCCUAACCAAAUUAAAGUGAUGAAGCUUGAACAAAUGCACAAAAAUGAGCUUGCAGGAUUGAAAAAGUGGGGAAGCUGGACACAUUGCUAAGGCUUUACCCACAUUCAGAAAGGAAGUAUCUGCAAACAGAAUCUUUUACCAACCCCCACCUCUAUCGGUAAAUACCCUUUGUAGAGUCAUAGGAGUGUUCUGCUAAACUGGGAGAGGCUCAUCAUUUUAUCAAGAGUCCAAAGAGUACUUGGCAACGAUAAGGGAUCCAUGCCCAAGUUAUGAACUAACUUUGCCGGUGGAAAGGAGAGAGAAUGCAAAAGCAGAGAUUAGCCUGAUUAUAUAUAAGAGGAGGCUGAUGAGGAAAUAACUACCUCAGAGUUACUCUUAAGAGACAGCAGUAGUGAAAAGGAAGCACUGUUAACUUGAGGGCUGGCGGAGAAAUUGAGAAAUGAAUCUGCAAUGUUCAUGCAGGCCAGAUGACAGUGAAGGGAAGGAAGAGCAAAAUGGAUGAGCUAAGAAAGGAACACUAUAUAUAUUUCAUUUAC